GCCUGGGUGGCUCAGUCGGUAGAGCGUCUGCCUUCGGCUCAGGUCGUGAUCCUGGAGUCCUGGGAUCAAGCCCCACAUCGGGCU
rnacentral:tRNA from 1 species